GGCUGGUCUGAGUACAGUAGUGUUUACAACUACUUGAUCACAACCAGUUACAGAUUUCUUUGUUCCUUCUCCACUCCCAUUGCUUUACUGACUAGCCUUUA
rnacentral:Y_RNA from 1 species